GCCUACAGGCUUUAGUGACACCCAAUGAAAUUGGCACUAUACAGAGAAGAUUAGCAAGGCCCAGUGCAAGAAUGACCUCACAAAUCGAAAAGUUGUUCAAAUUGUU